ensembl:lncRNA
CGCGUAACCUGAUUAUUUUUUUCAAGUAAUGAGGAAAGUAAGGGAUUACUAUUGCAAUAAAGUAAUUAGAUUACUAUUGCGUUACUGUGUUACUAAUCCGUGAUUUUGUUUGUCUCAUGACAAUCACAUACGAGUGUGUGAUGUCCGUGGGAGCAACAGAUGUGUGCAGAUCAACAAUAGAUAAUUUGGAGUGCGGGAGACAGUACGACCAUGUAGCGUUAAAAGCUUGGAAGUACUGACAUUACUUUGAGUUUGAUUUGACCUAAGUGCCUUCUUGGAGACUGCAUCAUCUCAAUCCAGUAUUCUCUGGGUGAAAUUCCCAGGCUGGUGUUGUCGGUUUUCUAUUAAAUUGUGAAGAGUAUCCAUUCUUCCCCACCUCGUGCUGCCACAUUAGCUUAAUCAUUCUCAACCACCCUUGGAACCAUUUUGACUUUUGGGACUUCCAGACCAUAGUCAGCAUAGAUGUUCCUGUAUUCUAUGCCAGCCACUUAGCUAUGGGAUUCCAUGUAUACCCUGCAGUGCCUGCUAGCAUCUUGUACCCUGCUAUUAUGUGCUGUUGUCUCAGGGGCACACGUCUUUGCAGACUCUGCAUCCUACAUCACAUCUUGCCUGGUGUGAUAGACCCCAGCCUCUGUGGAUCUUGUGCUCAGAGCUUGUUCCUGUGCUACUAUGAUUAGUGCCUCUGUGCUGUCUUUCAGUCCAGCUUUCUCCAGUCACUGGUAGGAUUUCCCAAGGUCAGCCACUUCUUCUACCUGCUGGUAGUAGAUGGUGUAAAGAGAUCUUCCAUGAUGGUUCCUGUUCUUGCUCCUUUUUUUCUGCUGCCUGAGUUGUGACAGAUGGCUGCCCUCCCUGAGCCUGGUUCUUCCUGUUAGAAGAUAGUUUUUCCUUCCCACUGCCACAAAGUGUUUCCUCAUAAGGGUUGUGAAUUGGCAUUAUAUACAUUAACCUGAAUUUAAAUCGAAUUGAACUGAAAAUGGUUUAAGUAUAAGUACGCAGGAAAAAAAUAUGCCAAUUCAAAAUAUGAAUGUUCUGAAUACAUAUUAACAUAUCAAUGGUGGCUAUAUGGCAACUGAAAAGAGACUGUAUGUUAUUUUCAGCAUAACACACUGGGAGAGACUGAACAUUUUUUAGCAGUAAUUCACAGUAAAGUAUAAAAAGGAUUUGAUUAACAGUGUUACAUAACGAAUGCUAAUCUGCAGUCAUUUAGAAAUUAGUUACAUUUUUAUUUGAUAUAUCACUUGAACUCUUUUGAUUAGCAACCUUACACAAGUGAAGCAAAUUCUUCAGUCAGGCACUUCUACAGAAUACAAAUUGACACACUGCAACGCCUCCAGACAGCAGGUUCAUCAUUUGAAGGGAGCAGACUUCUCCUGGCUGCACUUCAGAUCCAUUUCUCCGGGUCUCUCCAUGUGUGAGUCUGCACCUGAUUUAUUAUUCUAACUCGCCAGCGCCAACUCCUAGUCAGCUGCUCUAGAGGGAAGAUUUGAUGAUCGAUGGGAGCCCAGAGGUCACGCAAGGCUGAGGUGCCAAAGAGAUGCUUGAUUGUGGAGAGGUGGGAGCCACCUCAGAGCAGCUUCCACCUUGAGUGAGGAAGUGGAACAGAUUGCUAUCACUUUUUUCAUUUUGCAAAUAAGAGCAGGAGACAUUGUGAUGAUGAACUUGAGGCUGAAGAACUCUAGAAAAAAAUUGUAGCCAGUUUUCGUAUGGUAUGCAAAACCUCUAAUUUUAGCUGUUUAGGUAUAAAAAACAUGAUUUUCUUUUGUUGGUGUCAUGUGGCACUUUUAUUGUGUGAAAGAUUCCUGACUGACUUGCUGUGCGGUGUUGUGUGUGACCGAAAGCCUGUAAUUCAGGUCUGUGGUGCACAUUGAGCAGGAAGCUAAACUGCAGAUACAGCUGAAUACCUCAGGAUCUUCCAGAAUCCCAGGACUCACGCAGAACCACUGAGGGAGCUUGAUGAUAAAGAUGAUGCAGAGAUGUAUGACAGCACUUC